rnacentral:lncRNA from 1 species
CCAUUGAAUAGGUGCCCGUUGAGAAGAAGGUGGGGAGAAAGAUUUGGCAUUCAAUAUUCGUCUAAGCAUCCAUGAUUGAUCGGGCUUUGGAAAUCAAUGGCAAACAUAGGUACGCAUUUAUUAUUUUGUAUUCUGAUCUUCUGCAUAUGAUCUUGGAGAAAUCCUUACAAUUGAUAUCAGAGCACAGAUUUUGAAGAGGAUUAGAAUAAAUAAAAAAAUUAUUAAAAAGAAAGGGGGAUGGAUCUCCUCAGACUGUGCCCUCUCCUCUCUUUCUUCUUGCUAGUCAGACCUCUUUCCGAUCGAAUCAAGGUCUGACGACCACCUCGGGAGCCAGCGUUGAGGGAGAUGAUAGUUUAUGACCGGAUCUAAGGAUCUGAUCAAACAAACAUAAAAAUCGUAGAAGAGGAGGGAUGGAUCUUCCCAUGCCCUUCUUCUUCUUCAUUUCUUCUCGCUGGUCGGAUCUCUCUCCGACGGGAUCCUGCUCCGACGGCGAUCCGGAAUAGCCUGCGGUGUUGGAUAGGUGUUUCCAAUCAAGAUCCCAAAUAAAUAAAAAAAAUAAAAAAAGGUGGGCGGUCCUUGCCUGUCGUCGCCCACUUUUCUCGUCUGGCAUGACGUCGCUUGCGACGAUCGAUGCAUCGGCCCCCCUUCUUUUGCACGUGCAGUUGUUCGGGAUGCCACCGCCUGUCGUAACCGAUGGCAAACUUGCAGGCGUCGAGCUUCAAGGGGAUUCGCAAAAAAAAAAGGGGAAGAAUCAGGGCCGUUGGAUCUCUGUUGGCCCACGGUUUCUCCUUAAGUGGCAGCGGCCUUCAAUUGGCCUAUUUACGCCGGUCGCCGGUCGGACCCCCUUUCUUAAUGGGUUUUGGAUUUUGAAUUUUGGGUUUAACUCAAAAUUCAAACCCGAUUUGCUGAUAUUAUGUUUUAUGACACUUUUAUAGUUUUGUCCCUGCUGUGAAAUUUAUUGAAUAAAAUUUUCUAUAUUACUAUUUAGCCCCUCCUGAAGCUUUUAAUUUUAAAAUAAUAUUUCAAAACUUCAGUUUAAUUCUUGAUAAGGUUAAUUUUUGAUGAUAGCCUUCAAAAAUUAAUUUUUUUGAUAUUUUUUUAAUUAUGUGAUGUAAUAUGCUAUUUUUUGAAAUAUUUUUUGUGGCAUAAUAGUUUAAAAAAUUAUUAUGGCAUGUGAUAGACCCUCUGAUAGUAUAUACUUUUUCUGAUUGCACGUAUAUUUUAUAUACUUUCAAUUUUUCUUUAAGAAGUUAAAUAGAUUAAAACCUAAAUUAUUUAUUUGAGUUGUACAAAUUUAUUACUGUGACUUUAGAAUGCAAUAUUAUAUUGUAAUAUGAUUUGUGGGGUAUAUAUUAUUUUGUAUCCCAUUCUGGACUUAAUCAUUUAUAAGCAUACAUGUGGUUAAAGUAUGCCGAAUUAUAUGUAUUUAGGUAUUUAUUUUUCUAUAUGGAUAAUUUUAUGGAUUGGCAUAAAUAUUUAUCAUCAAAAUAAUUUAUUUAUGUCAGUUCAUAAGAUUUUUCACGAUGAGAGGGAUAUUUUUAAGUUAUGGCAUACAAUCACCUGCGCAAAGGGGGUUAUUUUAUAUUUUAACUGAAAAUUGCAUGAAGCAUUGUGUUGUGAGGGUGCUCUAGUUUUUGAGGUCUGUUUGUCCAAAGAGAAUAGGCUUCUGAAUCCAAGGAUAUUUCUUUUUGUGGCUUCAUAUGAACAGCAUUUAUGCAUAUUGCAUAUUCUACCCAAAAGAAAAUUUAUGAUAUUGUGUUUGGGCUUUUGUUUAUUACUUAUAUUAUUUAUGCAUAUGCCCAUUGACUAAUAUUUUGCAUUCCUCCUAUUUGAUUGUACAGUCUCAUUCAGUAUGAAUAAUAAUAAUAUUGUUAUUGAGGUCUUGACUAGAUUAAAUUAUAAGAGGUGGAAGCAAGAUAUGAAAUUUGUUCUUGGGAUUGCUGAUAUUGACCUGGCAUUACGUGACAAUAAACCUGAUGAUCUCAAUGAUCAAAGUAUAUCUAAACAAAAAGAUUAUUUUACUAAAUGAGAAAAAUCUAACAUACUUAGCUUGAUAGCUAUUAAGAGGUAUGUUUUUUAGCAUCUUCUAAGUAGUCUACUAGAGACCAGUAAUACUAAAGAGUUGUUUGAUGCCAUAGGAUAAAGACAUAUUGUAUCUGAGAAAGUUGAAUCUGGAUGCCUAAUGAGAGAACUGAUGAUCAUGAGUUAAUAUAAUAUUGAGGAUAUCAGAAAAUAUAUUCUAAAAAUAGUUCAUCUCCAAACCAAGCUUAAAGAUCUUAAAAUUGAUCUAUCUAAUUCUUUUUUUAUGCCUCAUGCUUUAAAUUCAUUAUCUACUGAGUUCUCUUAGAUCAAAACUACUUAUAAUACUCUGAAUGAAACUUGAAGUAUUAAUGACUUGAUCACCAAAUGUAUUGUUGAGGAAGAGAAACUCAAGAAAGAAAAGAGUGAGAGUGCAUUUUUUUCCAUCCAAUGCAAACUCCAUUCUGGCAAGGGUCCUGUAAAUCAGAAAAAGCGUAAACCUACUACUUCUAAAUAGUCUCAGGGUGCAAAAGGACAUGGUAACAACCCCAAUCAAAAUCAUUCUAUAUAGGAGGACCUAAAGCUGUCAUAGGAAAAAAUAUCAAGUAUUUUCAAUGUAAGAAGAAAGGCCAUAUAAAGAGUCAAUGCUAUAAGUUCAAGUCUUGGAUGGUAAAGAAAGAAAAAUAAGGAGGUAAGCCCCUAGCCCUUGUUUGUUAUGAGUUAAACAUAGUCAAUAUCCCUAUUGAUUUUUGAUGGAUUGAUAGUGGUGCCACAUCUCAUGUUGUAAUUUCUUUGCAGAGGUUCAUAAGCAAGCAGAAACUAAGUCUGAAGAAGACCAGACUGAAAGUAGAAAAUGAUCUUGAGGUUGAAGUUGAAUAUAUAGGAGUUGUCAAGUUAUCUUUAAAAUCUGAUUUUGAGAUUUUUUAAAAAAACAUCUUUUAUGUACUUUUUUUUUAAAGAAAGUUGAUUUCUAUUUCUGCUUUAGAUAGGCUUGGAUUUGAUUUUAAUUUUCAUAAUGAAAAAGUUAAUUUGACAUUUGACUUUCAGAUUGUUGGUUAUGGUAUUUUGAAUGAUGGAUUAUAUAGAUUAUGUUUAGCUUGUAAUAAUCUCUAUACUUCUUUAAAUAUUGAGAACGUAGUUGUAAAGUAUUCUAGAAUCAAAUAUAGAUCCCCUAUGUUGUGGCAUAAAUGCUUAGGACAUAUAUCUAAAGAAAGAAUUGACAAAUUGAUAAAGGAUGACAUUCUAUCUGCCUUAGAUUUUGGGGAGAUGGAGACUUGCAUUGACUGUAUUAGGGGUAAAUUGACUAAGACUAAAAAGAAAGAGGCAAUUCAUAGUUCAAGUCUUUUGAAAAUAAUACACACUAACAUUAGUGGGCCAUAUUCCUCUAUAAUAUAUGGUAAUAAAUACUUCAUAACAUUUAUUGAUAAUUUUUUUUAAAAUAAUUAUCUUUAUUUAAUUAAAAAAAUUAGAUGAUCUUGAAAAAUUUUAAAUUUUUAAAAUUGAAAUUGAAAAAUAAUUAAAAAAAAUCAUCAAGAUUGUGAGAUCUGACCGUGGGGGGUGAGUAUUAUGACAAACAUGAUAUAGCAGAUAGCAUAUGGGUCUGUUUGCCAAGUACUUACAAAAUUAUGGAAUUAUUGUCCAGUACAUCAUGCCUGAUAGCCCUGAGCAGAAUGAUGUGGUCGAAAGGAUAAUCAUACCCUUAAAGAUAUGAUGAGAAACAUAAUAAGUAGGCCUAACUUGUCAGAAUAUCUGUGGGAUGAGGCUUUUAAAAUUGUCUUAUACAUUUUUAAUAAAGUUUUCAAUAAAUCUGUGCCUAAAAUACCUUUCAAAUUUUGGACUGGUAGAAAAUCUAGCUUAAAUCAUUUUUGAGUUUGGGGUGGUUCUGCAGAAGUAAGAAUAUAUAAACUGAUAGAGAAAAAGACUAAUCCUAGAACCAGUCAUUGUUAUUUCAUUGAGUAUCCAAAAUGUGCUAAAGGAUAUGGUUCUAUAGUUCUGGGAGAGGUAAUAGAAUUAUAAAGUCACAGAUUACAAAAUUUCUAAAACUUGAUGCGGCUGAUGUUGAACCUUUCCAGACUGUUGAUAUUAACAGUAGUCAGGUUGAGACUGUCUCUAUUCUUGUGUCUGCAUCAUAUGAAAAUAUUGUUCUUGCACCUAUUGAUAGAGUGGAUAUUCAGACCCCUGAUCCUAUUGUUCCUAUUGAAAAUCUUCAACCAGUUCAACUUAUUAAGGAGGUGCCAUUAAGAAUAUCUAUUAGACAGAGAAGACCUACUAUUCCUGAUGAUUUCUUUAUCUAUCUUGGGAAAAAUGACUAUAACAUUGGACAUAUGGUUGAUCCAGUAACAUAUCAUGCUACCAUGAGCUGUCCUCAAUCUGAUUUAUGAAGAGAUGCUAUGAAAGAGGAAAUGCAGUCUAUGACCAGCAAUGAAGUAUGGGAGCUUGUUGAGCCUCCUAAUAAUUAUAAAUCUAUUGGGUGCAAGUGGGUGUACUAGACUAAGAAAGAUUCUAAAAGAAGAAUUGAGCAUUUCAAGGCUAGAUUGGCUGCCAAAGACUUUAUGCAGAGAGAAGGAAUUGACUACACUAAAAUUUUCUCUCCAGUAUCCCCAAAGAAUUCCUUUAGAAUCAUCAUGGCUAUAGUGACCCAUUAUGACUUGGAGCUUCAUCAAAUGGAUGUUAAAACUACUUUUCUGAAUGAUAAUCUCAGUGAGAAAGUGUAUAUAAAAUAUCCUGAGGGUUUUCAAAAAAAAUGGGAGAGAGCAUUUAGUUUGCAAAUUGAAGAAGUCUAUUGACGGCUUAAAAAGCAUCUUGGCGAUGGUACUUAAAAUUUGAUGAGGUGGUAACCUCUUUUUGACUUUGAGAAAAAUAAGAUUGAUCAGUGCAUCUAUUUCAAAAUCAGUGGGAGCAAGUUUAUCUUUUUUGUUUUAUAUAUUGAUGACAUCUUGCUUGCUAGUAGUGAUUUCGAUUUGCUUAGUGAGACUAAAUAAAUGUUAUCUAGGACUUUUGAUAUGAAAGAUCUUGGAGAGGCAUCUUUUAUCCUAGGUAUUUAAAUUCAUAGAGAUAGAUCACGUCAUUUGUUGGGUUUGUCAUAAAAGUCAUACAUUAACAAAAUUCUUGAAAGAUUUAAUAUGCAAAAUUGCAAACUAUGUGAUACAACUGUUGCCAAGGGUGACAAGUUUAGUAAAGAUCAAUGCCUUAAUAAUGAGCUUAAGAAAAAUUAGAUGAAGAAUAUACCUUAUGUUAGUACUAUAAGGAGUCUGAUGAUGCUUAGGUUUGCACCAGAUCUGAUAUUGUCUUCAUAGUGGGAGUUUUUGGUAGAUAUCUAUCAAACCUAGGCUUCCAACAUUGGAUUGCUGCAAAGAGAGUGAUGAGGAUAUAUUUUUAUAUUGACUGGAGGUACCGUAGCCUGAAGGAGUGUUAAAUAGACUCUGACUACUUUCACUGUACAAGCUGAAUUUAUUGCCUGUUAUGGGGCUACUACUCAAGCUAUUUGGCUGAAAAAUUUUAUUGCAGGGUUGAGGAAUGUUCAUUCUACAAUGGACCAUUGAUAAUCUAUUGUGAUAAUAGAGCUACUGUAUUCUUUACAAAGAAUAAUAAAUCUUCUAAUAGAUCUAAAUAUUUAGAGCUGAAGUAUCUGAUAGUAAGAGACCUUGUGAAAAAAGGGGACGUAACUGUUGAGCAUAUAGAUACAGAGUCCAUGUUGGCUAAUCCUUUGACUAAGGAUUUGAGGCCCAUAUGCUUUAUAAGGCAUGUUGAAAAUAUGGACAUAUUGAGUUCUUUUGAUGUACUUGGUUACUGAGAGUGACUUUGUAUAUAUAUUUAUUAAUAUUUUAUUGUUAUGGAUAUUUUUCAUCUCAUAUUCUUAUGAUGAAUAUUGAUAUAUAUUAUUGACAUGAUAAAUUGAUGAUAUAUUUAUAUUAAUUUUUUUGGUUAUAUAUACAUAUUUGUGUUAAUACACUAGGAGAUAUUUUGUUUAUGUACUUAUUAUAUGAAGUAUAAGAUCAGGUGUCGAGUCUCAGAUAUGUUGUACUGGCUCAUCAUUGACACCAUAUUGAGUAUGUGAGACAGAAUGGCUUGUUGUUGAAGUCAUUAAAAUUUUUCUUACUUCUUAUGUAUCCAAGCAUGUUGAAGAAAAAUUUGAGGACUGACAAUGCAAAUAACAUAUGUUUAGAUCACUUUUAGAUAUUAUUUUCUUACUACACUACCACAACAAGACUUAUGUCGAUAGUGUUAGUGAUGUUCGUAACUAUGGAUAGAUCUUAUAUCAAAAAAAGGAUAUAAUGACUCCUAUGAUUUAGCAUGAUUGACACUAUUGGACCGAGUCAAUUCUAAGAUACUGUCCAUAGAUCAUAUAUUUUUCAAAAAUCGUGGCUACGUACUGUGUUUUCUAUUAUUCAGCCCGAGAGUCAUUUUCAAAAUAAAAUAUUUUUAAAAUUUUAAAAUCAUAAUUAAUGUUGCCCAAGUGGGAGAAUAUGAAAAUUUUUUUGAUUAUAGACUGUCAUUAAUUAUUUAUUCUAUUUUAUUAAAAUGGGCUAAUUAUAUGAUCCGGGUUGAUGGACAUGCAUGUAAGUCCAUUAUUGUCGGUGAUCCAUAUGUUUUGAGCUAUGCGGGCCUUAUGUUGGAUGGUGUGGUUGGGGCGAUAUAAUGUAAGCCUAAACCUAAUUUAAGACCAUGAUGGAAGGGCUUGUUAGAGUUUGUUUUAGAUUUAGUUAGGUCUGCUUUCUAUUUUUUAUAAAUACCUUGAGACUAGUUCUCAGACUUGUCUCAUCGAAUAGUCGCUUGUUGAGAGAAAGUUGGGGAGAAAGAUUUGGUCUUCGAUGUUCGUGUGAGCAUCCGUGAUUGGUCGAGCUUUGGAAAUCAAUGAUGAACACAGAUACGUAUCUAUGAUUUUAUAUUCUAAUCUUUUAUAUAUGAUCUUAAAGAAAUCUCUACAUCCCUGCUCUUGGACAAUCUAAACAUAACAAGAAAACUCAUUUAAUUUUAUCAUUUUAUCUUUUAUAAUUUAUCUUAAGGUCUGCAUCUAAUACACAAGGAUCAAAGGAAUACAUAUGCAUGCUCGUUAUAUAAUAUAAUCCAGUCUCAGUAUAUUCCAGGUUAGAGACUGUUAUCAGCACUUGCCCCAAAGUAGCGGUAGGGCCCUCCACAUCAUUUAGCAAUCCAUCACACAAUGCCUCGUAACACUGGCAUAAUAAUUCAUAAACUACGGGAGCGUUAAGAGGGGAUCUAAACAUAUGCGACCUCCAAAACAAAGGAGGUGCACAGCGGAUGGUCACGUUACCAAGUCAUCCGAUUUGAAGGUCCAUAUGAUACGAAUGUACUUAUUUGUACUCAAAAGGCCUAUUUACGUCCUCUAACUUCGCACCAUCCGAUAUAUCAUAAUUUGGAUCUGGUAAAUUAGGGUGGAGUUAAAUGCCGUCCAAAGUCUGCACACUUUUUCAUCCAUCCUACUAUCAGGUUAAAACUUCCUUACGUUUGGAUGCUUCCUGUUCCUUUUAUCUUCAAAAUACCUUCCAGACGUUUUCUUAUCAGAUUUUAUGGUCAUUGUUGCCGCUCAAAAUCUGAUGUGACAUGUGGACAAGCCAUUUUGCUCAGUUGAGUUGGAUGAUCAUAGCAUGGUGUUGGAAUUGUUCUACAAUCCCAGAAAAAGAUCAGGAAGUCACCGGAACAUGUUUGAUUAAAGAUUCUCCAAAGUUUAAGUAUUCAGACGGAAGAGAGAGAGAGAAAUUUAAGAGUAUGGCAUUCAGAUUUCUUUUCGUACUUAAAGUUCCUACAUUUCAUAUUUAUAAAAGAGACGAUAUGAAACUGCAUAAUUAGGAUCACAAAAUCGAUGAAUGAGUAGUUGAACUCUUUCCAUAUCCACCGGUCGAAAAGAUAAAAAUAUUUUUUUUUGAAUAUAUUAUGAUCGGAUGCUUUUCUUAUUUGCUAAUCUAGCCGGUUACAAUAUUCUUUUUCGGACGUAUUGAGAUUAUAUUAAGCAAUAAAAAGAUCAUGCUAAUUAUUUAGAGAUUUAAUUAGCUAUUAAUUUAGUUGAACAUGUGUCAUCAUUGGGUUGAUGGGUUGAGAUACUAGGUGAGAUUUUAAAGGUGACAAAUCUGACCAAUACCAAUCAUGAUAUAACCUAAGGACCUCAGUUAAUGUCUCCCCUCUAAAUCCAUGUCGCGUUGCCCCACAUUAUUUUUUAGAAAACAAAUGCAAAGAUUUUUCUUUUUUAAUUCCUAUCCAGAUUCGAGGAGCAAGAGUCCUGCUUAACAAAUCGCUCUCCAUAUUCUCUAUUUUAUAGGAGACAAUAGACUCAACAUGACAUUUUCCUAGACUGUCAGGCUUUCUGAAAAUAUAUGUAUAUUUUUUCUUUUUUUGGCAUCCUUGCUUCAUCUCUCAUAUGCAUCACACAUACCAAUGACUAGUUUAUACUUAGAUUGACAUACUCUAUGUAUUUAUACAUCGCCAUAUCUAGUGUACCAAUCUAAUGUGGACUUAGCUUGUCGGACACUUCUAGAAGUGGAAAGAAAAUAUAACCAAGAAGAAGGGUUUAAGGUUAGGCAUCUAAAUAAAGUGAGAGGAGAGGGAAUCAAAAAGGAGAUCAAAGUAUAAUAAAACAUGAACUUACUGUUAGCUCUAAUUUUUCCUCCUUUUAUUUCAUCUCCUAACCAUGAAUUCCAUGAUCUUGCUAAUCAUUUAAAUAAAUUCUUUCCAUGUAGCCCUGGCUUAGACCUUUGUACUUAUUAGAGGUCCUGAGCUCAAUUUUGACAGCAUAUCCAUCAUAAGAAUUCAAAUUUGCAUCUAUGAUCUCAGUACUACUACCAUAGGAGUUUGGAGUUGGGUUUAGGGGCAUGUCCAAGCCUUGAUGAACUCUUAGGGUUGGUGCCCCAAGCAAAGUUGAUUCGGUUAUGAAACUUUGGUACCAAAAUCAACUUAUUUUGGAUGGCUUUGAGCAAGCCGGCAAUUCUAGAUCAAAAAGCUAUCACUGGUCCAUUCCUAUGAAAGAGAUAAGAGGUUAAAAGGGUUAAGAAAACUAAAAUAACAUCUUAAUAGUUGUUAUUUCGAUGAAAAGCAUAAGGAAAAACAUCAAAAGCUAUUAAAAAAGCUUGACAUUAUGUUGAAUCAUGGGAGAAACCACUUGGAAACAUCUGCUCUGAAUCUACUGGACAAAAAAAAAGAAAAAAUCUUUAUCUAUACUUAUAGUAAAAUUUCGUUUUUGUCGCAUAUGUGCCGUUGGGUCAAGAAAGGAUACGUGUUGUGUAAUUAAUAGGGGGUGGGAUCUCACUUUUAUACUCGUUAUUUACUAGAUGCGACUACUUACAGGCUAUAUAAAGUGUAUCCUUUCUCACUUGAAAUUAGCACAUGUAACAAAUGUGAGAGAUAGUAUGCAUGGUUAUAAUCUUCCUUCUAAAUAGAGAUUUUGUAUGAUUCAUAUAACUUAAUUAGCAUAUCGGUAGAAGGUGCACUUCCUUUAUUUGUACAUCUUAAAACUAAACUAAGCAUACAUCUUAUCUAAUGGGAAUAAUUAUAUUGUUUUGUAAUCAUAAUAUUUUAAGACCAAGCUUCUGCAUGCACCUGAUAGUUUGAGUCUAAUAGUAAAAUAGAUAUUUUUUUGCUAAUGUAAGAUUUGUCAUUUCAUUUUGGUUAAGCUGCUUUCCUUUUUACAUGUGUCAUUUUAGUUUCCCCUAUUUUUCUUGAUGAAAUUAUUUCUUGUCUCUACUACUGCCAAAUACUCUACUAUGCGAUGGAAUCGCAACUUAUUAGUAAAUAAAGACUCCUAUGAUCUAUUUUUUAUAUUUGUUGUGCAUCCAAAUGCUUCACAAAACUCACAAUAUUGUUGCUUUGCUUUUACAUUAUUGCUUUGCUUUGCUUUUCCUUUGUACAUUUGAAUUAGGAGUACCUUUUGAUUAAAUCCUCAUUUAUUUUUGAUUGAGGGCUAUUCCUUAUCUAUAUUGCCUCCGUGGAUAUUAAGAUUCAAUUUUUUUCUACUUGAAGCAAAUGAGCCAUCCAUGAUGGACUCAAAGAACGAGGCCCGUAUCCAAGCCCAUGUUGCCACUUUAAGCCUCAAAAAGGGAGGCACAUGAUUUGCAGUUUUGUAGAGCAAAAAUUGCUCACGUAGUAGAAGUUAUUUUUUUUAAUUUUAUAUUUAUAUAAAGAGGGGCACCACUUAUGGUGGUUAUCUCAUCUGAUUGUGAAGAUACAACUCUUGUGUAUGUAGGGAGAAACAAAAGAAAUUGAAAACUCUUCUUCGAUGCCUUAAGUGGGUGUUGCUCUUUUUUUCUCAAAUUAAUUCUAGUGGAGUACACUACAAUUUGAGGAAACUUUAGAUUAUGAAUAUAUGAUUAUGGUUUGUUUUAUGUAAUCAUAAUUGAAACUAUGUGAUACAAUAGGUUGAGUUUUAAGGGUGUUUGCAUGCAACCUUGAAUUUAUUCAUGGUUCAAAAAUCUUACAUUGGUAUCAGAGCCAGGUUAUUCUUUAUCCUAAUCUAAAUAUGAUACAUAACAAGACAUAUGUAUGCUAGAACAAUUAAAAUUGCAUCUGUGAUUUAUUUUUUUUUUAAUUUUGAAAUUUUGAUAAUAUGAUCAUUGGGCCAUGUUUGAGGGUGCCUCUUUGUUUUUGUUACGAAGAUGGAGUGUGCCCCCCUUCUGGAUAAGAUCCAGAAGGGGAUUCUACUUUGUUAGUUACGGUGAAACAGAGGGGCAUGCGUUCUUUCUGGAUAAAUCUUUUUGUUACGAUGAAACAGAAAGAGGUGCGCCCUUUCUGAAGAAGUCUUUUUGUUACGGUGAAACAGAGAGGCAUGCGCCCCUUCCUGAAUAAGCCUUUUUGUUAUAGUGAAACAGAGGGGCUCGCAAAAAAAAAUAUAUAAAAAAAAAAGAGGAGGCUCUUAGAAUUUUGAAUUCAAAAGAGGGGCCAUGGCCCAAUCCAUUUUUGUGAGAUUUUCUACGAGAGAUUUUUUUUCUUAUGAUAUUUUGGUUCCUUCGGGGUUUCGAGAUGGAUUUUUCCAUCAAAAAAAAAUUCCACUAAGAUCCAAAAAAAAAUUAAAAAUAUUGGUGACCUAAAAAUAUUGGUCACUAGAACUAUUUUUUUAUAAUUAUUGUUUAUCAUUUUUUUGUGAAAUAAAAUGGUAUUUCAAUGGAUCUUAUUAAUUUCUAUAUUUAUUACAAAAAAUGGUGCGAGUUAUAAGAACUUCGAAGAAAAUCUUUUCUGCUCAGCAAAGGGAUAGGAUGGAUGGAAUGAUCAAUGAGUUGAUCAGUAUAAAAAUGGAUCCUAUAGACACCAAUAAUGAAUUGGUUCAACUGAUGAACCUCAUCAUUAGAGCACAUGGCUUAAUGCAAAAAAUUAUUUGGGAAGGUAGUCUGGAAACUGAAGUGGAGAAAUAUAGGGCUCUAAGAAUGAUUUUACCAACACCUAGUCAAAAAGGGGUCUUAGAUUCACUUUGGCGUAAGGAGAGUCAGAGAGCUCUUGGAUCCUAUUGAUGCACUAUGAAAAUCUUGAUCCAAGAAUAUAUUAAUUGGGCAGCCAGGAAGAAUUCGUGUUCUUCCUUAGAACUGCCUCUUCGUGAUGGAAAGCGAAGAGCUUUGGUAAAACUAUUGCUGCCGAAAGUGGUUUACGAGUUUUCCAAAGGCCUCUAUGAUGAUCUUGUUAACUCAAUUUUAGUUACUCGGAUUUCAUGUGGAAAUUGAUUAUUAUUUUCUUAUUUUUGCUAUGAAUUGAACUAUGUUAGUUCUGCUAUUAGCUAUUUUUUGUUUAGGAUGUUGAAUAAUAUGUUUUGUGAUUAUAAAUAUUAUGUUAUUUUAUUUUCACAUAUUUGCAUAUUAUUGUUCAAUUUCUAGUUUCUCUUUUUAUUUAUUUAUUUUUUAUGGAAAUUAAAUAUAGAUUCAGGAAAACUCAAUAAAUUUAUUAUUGAAUAAACUUAUUAGGUUCUCAAAUUUAAGUAAUUUAAGAAUAUUACCUUUACAUAAUUAAUUAUGUUACUUUUAUUAUACAUUAGGAUAUUAGAUGAUGAUUGGAAACAUAGUGAACUUUCGAUUCUAAAUCUAAUGUAGAAUAAUUGUUAGCAUAAUUGAUAGUGUUAAGGUAGAUGUAUGUAUGUUAUUAGAUGCUAAUAAAUGUGUAUAAAAUAUCUAUAUACAGAAUAUUAGUGUUCAAAUGGCAUCAGCUACGAAAAAUAUAGUGGCCGAGUUUAACAAAGGUGAAAAAUUUAAUGGCAACAAUUAUGAAAUCUGGAGCAUGAAGAUCUAGUAUGUGCUAGAGGAGCAAAAGGCUCUUGAAGCUCUUAAUCUUAUCAUGGAAGUAUCUAAAACUGGCAACACGGCCCAGCAUAGGAGGGACAGUGAGGUGUAUGAUGUCUGAAGAAAGAAAAAUUCAACUGCUCGCAUCACAUUGCUAAGCAGUAUGGAUGAUGACAUUAUGUAGGAAUUCAGAAAGUAUGACUUUGCGAAGGACAUAAGGUCUGCACUUAAGAAAAAGUUUGGAGGCAUAUCGGUGGCUAAACUUAAAGCUCUCACCGUUAAGUUCGACACUUAUAAAAAGUGUCCUGAACAUGAUAUGAAAAAAUAUCUGAGGGUCACGUCUAACAUGGUGAAUGAGUUGAAGGAUGUCGGCCAUAUCUUAACUGAUUUGCAGCAAGUCCAGGCGGUGAUACACUCUUUACCUAACAGCUGGGAACAUAUGAAAAUGCACCAGACCCACAAUAUCUAUAUUAAGAAUAUGGAGGAUGCUCUGCAUCACCUUGAGCUGGAGGAGGAUUGCCUCCACUUCAACAAGCCAAGUACAGAUGUAUACAUGGCCGAUCCCAGCUUUCAGAGAUGUAAGGGACGCAAGCACAGGAACCAAGGUGGGAACCAACAAGGAAAGGGUAAGGGUGCAGCCAACAAGAAGCCAAAGAAUGAGAAAGAAAAAGAUCCUCUCAAAAGGAAGAAAAAGAACAUUGCAAAGGCCAAAUGUUUCAACUGUGGCAACAAGGGACAUUUUGCUUGUGACUGUACUGAGCCCAAAAAGGUAAAUGGCCUUUUAGCACUUAAGAGUGUAAUAAAUAUUUCUAGUUCUAUUUUGCUAACUGAAUCUAAUCCUUUGUGGACUGUAAACUAAGACGCUACAGUUCAUGUAGCGAAGGAUCGAGAUGCCCUCGUAGAUUUUCGACGACUCCCAUAUGGGGCGAGAUGGAUUUAUAUCAACAAUAACUCCAGAGUUGAGGUGAAGGGGAUUAGCAUAUGCAAGUUAGUCAUGCAUGGCGGUCGGAUUCUAAUCCUGCAUGAUAUUCUGUUUGUUCUAGAAAUUCGUCGGAAUUUGAUUUCUGUUUUAGUACUGUUAAAAUAUGGUUUCACUGUAUAUUUCCAUAGAUGUGGUAUGAAUUUAUAUUUAGAUUCAAGUUUUAUGGUUCUGGAUAUUUUCUAGAUAGUUUCAUUGUGUUGGAUAUUGUUAAUGAUUUCAGUAAUGUAUAUUUUUUCUUAUUUACAUCUUCUGAUGAGUCUUUAAAUGAUGUCAAUGUAUGGCAUGCUGGACUUAGCCACAUAGGUCAACAACGUAUGUAAAGACUAGCCAAAGAGGGCUUACUAGGUGGUAUUAAUAAGGUAGAAUUGUUUACUUGUGAAUAUUGCCUAAUUGAAAAAACGUGUAGAAAAUUAUUUUGAAAGGAAACAAGAGCUGAAUUUCUAUUACAAUUAAUUCAUUCUGACACAUGUGGUCCAAUGAAUGUAAGGGCUAGGCAUGGGGCUGUUUAUUUUAUCACAUUUAUAGAUGACUUUGUUCGAUUCGGUUACGUUUAUUUAAUAUCUCACAAAUCUGAGGCUUUAAGUUACUUCAUAAAAUAUUUGAAUUUAGUUGAGAAUCAAUUAGAUAGAAAAGUAAAGGCUUUAAGAAUUGAUCAAGGAUGAGAGUACUUAUCUGAUCAGUUCAGAGAAUUAUGUGAUGAAAAAGAAAUAGAACGAUAGUUGACUAUUCCACGUACACCGCAACUAAAUGGUGUUGCGGAAAGAUGAAAUAGAACCUUGUUAAAAAUGGUUAGGUCAAUGAUGGCAUAAGCUAAUUUUGCCAAUUACCUAUUGGGGUGAUGCACUAUUAACAGUCACAUUUGUACUUAACCGAGUACCUACCAAAUCUAUCACUUCCAUGCCAUAUGAGUUAUGGACGACAAGCAAAUCAGACUUAGUUUUAUGAAACCUUGAGGUUGUGCUGCAUUUGCCCACGAACCUUCCCAUAAAUUUGAAAAAUUAGGUCCAAGAGAAAAGAAAUGUAUCUUUAUAUGAUACUCAGAACAGUCAUAAGGAUAUAUGUUCAUCGAUGAGCAAGACAAUAGAAGUAUAAUAGAAUUUGAAUCAUGAGAUGUCAUGUUCUUGGAGAACGAUUUUCCAUGAUAGAGUGAGAUAGGUCAAGACUUAUCUCUGUACAAAACUCUUGAUCAGGAUGUUUUCGCUGUAGAAACUCAACCAGAUACACUUUCGAGUGCGAGUAAUUUGAAUAAUGAUAAAUUUAUUUUUUCAAAUUCACAAUUGCACCCUGAAGUGAGUCCAACUGAGGUACCUAGUCCAAGUAGGAGUAACCAAUUCAUUGAAAAGUCAAUGCCACUAUGAUAAACGAGUCAUAAAAGUGUUCCCCAUUGAUGUUUUGAGAUCGAAGGGGAAGCAUUUAUCGUUACUCUUGAUGAAGAGCCAAGGAAUGUUAAUGAGGCUCUUUUAUGUCCUGCUAAGAAAAAAUAGAUUAAGGCAAUGGAAGAGGAAAUAGAGUCUAUAAAAUCGAACUAAAUUUGGGAACUGGUCGAUUUGCCUUUGGGAUGUAAAGCAAUUAAAAAUAAGUGGGUCCUCAAAAUAAAGCAUAAGGCUGACGGCAGUAUCAAGAGAUACAAAGCUCAUCUAGUGGCUAAGGGGUACACACAACAGAAAGAAAUAGAUUAUGAGGAAACUUUUUCACCUGUUGUAAGGUUCACCUCGAUAAGAUUAAUUUUGGCUAUGGUGGCUAACUUGGGUCUUGAACUACAUCAAAUGGAUGUGAAGACUAUUUUUCUCAAUGAAGAAUUGGAGGAAGAAAUCUAUAUGAAACAGCCCAUAGAUUUUGUUAAAGAAGGCCAAGAGCAUAAAGUGUGUAGACUUUUGAAGCCAAUCUAUGAUCUCAAAUAGUCUUCUAGACAAUGAAAUAUAAAAUUUCAUAAUGCAAUCAUGUCGUAUGAUUUUACUAUGAUCAAUGAGGAUCAUUGCGUAUAUACCAAAAGGUCCAAGGAUAAAUUUGUAAUCUUAUAUUUGUAUGUAGAUGACAUACUGAUAGCCGGAAAUGAUAAGGGGUAUAUUAACACUAUCAAAGGAUGGUUAUUAUCUAAUUUUGAGAUAAAAGAUAUGGGCGAAGCUGCAUAUAUCUCUGGAGUUUAAGAUUUCAAGAGAUCGCUCGAAGAAGUUAUUGUCUCUUUCACAAGAGUCGUAUAUUAAGAAGGUUCUAGAGCGAUUCAAUAUGCAAAAUUGUAAACCCAUAGAUACUUCCAUUUUCAAAGGUGAAGCUUUAAGCCGAAGGUUAUGUCCUAAGACUCCACAAGAAAAGGAUCAGAUGAGAAAUGUUUUUUAUGCCAAUGCGGUUGGAAGUCUUAUGUACGCUAUGAUGUGUACUAGACCUGAUAUUUGCUAUGUAGUUGGCAUGGUAAGUAGAUAUCAAUCUGACCCUAGCUAGGCAAGCACAUUGGAAAGUAGUGAAGAUGAUACUAAGGUAUCUUAAGGGCACAACUGAUUACUAAUUGUGUUAUCAAGGAGGUGAUCUGCAAUUGAAAGACUAUACGAAUACUGACUGGGGAGGAGAUCUAGAUGAGAAAAAAUCUAUCUCUGAAUAUAUCUUCUUAAUGAAUGAUGGCGCCAUAUCAUGGAGUAGUAAGAAACAAUCUUGUAUAGUCCUAUCUAAAAUAGAAGCUAAGUUCGUAGCAUUUUCAGCUGCUGUGUAAAAAGCUGUUCGAUUAAAGUAAUUUUUGAUACACUUGGGAGUGUCUAACAGUGCUGUUGAUCCGGUGAUUGUGAAUUGUGAUAGUCAAGCAGUAAUAGCUUAUACGAAGGACCCCAAGUAUCAUGAAAAAACCAAACACAUAGAUAUUAAAUAUAAUUUUGUUAGGGACAUGGUUGCACAUAAAAAAGUGAACAUGAAGUACAUUUCUACUCAUGAAAUGAUAGCAGAUCACAAAACCUAUUGCAAAAGAGGUUUUCCAUAGGCAUGUAAAGUCAUUGGGCUUGCAUAGAUGUUGAUGUACUUAUACUUGAAUUUAUUUUCCAACAUGUUCACAUAAAUAACAUUGUUUGUGGUAAUGUUAUUGAUGCUUAAUUGCAAUUUGUUGCGAAACAUAUAUACACAUUUAUGUUGAGUACAUAAACCAAGUAUUAUGAGAAGUAUGUCGGAUAGAUAUAAAGAUUGGCCUUCUCACAUAGGCAAUCGCCUCCAUGAUCUAAGUGAAAAUUAAGAUGAGACUAUUAUAAGUUUUAUUAUCUAAAUGAUAAUAUUGAGAACUCAAACUUAUAACACGAAAAAUUAUCUCGAGUGAAACAAGAAUAAAGAGUCACAUUAUAUGAUUGAGUCACAUUAUCUGUCUUGAAUGCCAGAUGUGAGUUCCGAUGUGUAAAAACAGAGUAAACUAGGAAACUCAAAGUUAGGCAUUGAGUGUGCUUGAACCAUUGUUUGUACGGUAUCUGAUAUAGAGAUAUACGCUCUAUGGAAAAGGAGAUGAUACGAUAACAUGUGAUUCAUACCACGUGUGCUUGUGUCCAAUAAGAGAAAUACAAAUUAAGAUCUCUACUUGUUAUUAUGUGAGACCCUAAAGAUUAUAAGUAAUCUUUACUUGUACCCUCAUGACUCUGAUCUGUUACUUAAGACUUAGUUUAAUGUUUGCUAUCUUAGGGUGUUGCCAAAGAACUAUGUUAGAUACGGUCUAGCAGGGCAUUCCUAGAAAAGCAGUUAAAUUAAGAUCAAGAGAAUCGGGAGAAAAGAAGGAUCAUUGAGUAUUAUCACAUUGGUUGUAUUCAUUGACUAGUCAAUUAUGUUUAUGAACUCAAAUGCAGUUAAUGAGAUCAGAAGAGAUGUAAAUGUGAUAAAUGUCUAGGGUAUAGCAUACUGCAUCUACUCUAACUCUACCAAUCAAAGAGCUAUAUUAUCUUAACAGAUAUAUAGCACUUGAGCUCUCGAAGUAUGCACUAGCCAUACGGUCCGUUUGUUUAGUAUGAAGGUUGCAGUGAUUGAGAAUGAAAGUUAAUCCCAUCAUGUAUAAGUGAGAGAUGAAGCAAAUGAGCCACCCAUGAUGGACUCAAAGAAUCAGGUCUGUGUCCAAGCCCAUGUUGCCACUUCAAGCCUCAAAAAGAGAGGCACGUGAUUGCAGUUUUGUAGUGGAAGCUUUUUUUUUUUGAACUUCAUAUUUGUAUGGAGAGGGGCACCACUUGUGGUGGUUAUCUCAUCUGAUUGUGAAGAUAUGACUCUGGUAUAUGUAGGGAGAAAUAAGAGAAAUUAAAAACUCUUCUUCGGUGCCUUAAGUGGGAGCUGCUCUUUCUUUCUCAAAUUAAUUUUAGUAGAGUAUACUGCAAUUUGAGGUAAUUUUAGACUGUGAGCAUAUGAUUAUGGUUCAUUUUAUGUAAUCAUAAUUGAGACUAUCUGAUAUAAUAGGUUGAGUUUUAAGGGUGUUUGCAUAUAACCUUGAAUUUAUUCAUGGUUCAAAAAUCUUACACUACCUUUAUACAUUUGAAUGAUAAUCAUCUUUUGAUAAACAACUUAUGUAUUUUUUGUUACAAAACAUUGCAUCACUUGCCUGUAGGGAUGCAAUUAUAAUAAUACAUUUCUAGUAACAUAUUUACAUGGCAAAAUUGAGGCAAAUAUUUAAAAUUUUUAUUUAUUUAUUUUAUAUUUUAUUGAUAAAUUAAAAAUAACUUUAGAUAAGUUUUUUUUCAUAAAAAUUGGUCCCAUCUAUAAGGCCUAAAAAAGUCACUCGUUGGGUACGACAGUAGAUAUGUUGCUGUAAAAGUUUGAGAAACAACCAUCUUAAAAUGCUAAUACAAUACUGGCUAUAUAUCAUUCACCAAGAUGAAUGAGAUGCAUAAUAAUGUAUUUACACCCAUUCUCACAUGAUACAGAAGUGCUUGCAUAAUUUAGGAUCUCACCCAAAAAAAUUAGCUGAAAGAUAUUAUUUAGAUUUUUUGACCCUAUAUAAAUACCAAAAAUCUAUCCAAUGUACAUCUAACAUGGGACUAAACACAAGCCUACAUCGGUUUUUAUAUACUCCCUCCAUUUAAGUUUAGACAUCUUUACAAGGCUAAAAAUCUAAAUCCAAUCAAGUUGUGAUCAACUCCAAUAGGCUCGUGUUAUAAUGUCUCCAAAUCCACAUAAUCCAUAGGCCAUGUCUGCUUUGAUACUAUUUGUGAUGAUUUAAAAUCCCAUCUAAAAAGCUAUCUAGAAGGUAUUAUUUAGAUUUUUUUGAUCCUAUAUAAGUAUCAAAAAUCUAUCCAAUAGAUAGUUGAUGUAGAACUAAAGGCAUGCUCCUAUAUCCUCAUGAACUUUUUUUUAUUUUAAGUCAUGACAUCUUUAUCAGGCUAAAGAUCUAAAUCCAUUCAAAUUCAAUUAUAAGUAGCACAAAUCUAAUUAUAAAUAUUAUGAUUAACUCAUGAUCAGUCCAAAUGAGCCCAUAUUGUUAUGUUCCCUCAUCUCUAUAGAUCAUAGGGAUCUAUUUUAAUAUCUAUUUGUAAUAACAUAGGACUUAACUAAAAAAAACUAGCUAAAAAUUAUUAUUUGGAUUCCUUAAUCCUAUAUAAAUGCUCAAGAUUUACUUAAUACAUAACCAAUAUGAAACUAAACAUACACCCGCAUAGAUUCUUAUGAUAACACUUUUCACAAAAUAAAUAUUAUGUUAUACCAAAGUCAUGUAAUGAUUAGUUUACUUAUUUUUUUGUUUGGAUUGACCAAUUAUUUGUAAAUUGGAUUUGUAUAAGGUAAGAUGAGAAAAUUUAUUUUUGACUUGUUUAUAUGAUUUUAAUAUAAAUUUUCUAAUUUAAGGAAGAUCUUUUGCAAAAGAAUUUGGACUAUUUAAGGAUAAACAAAAAAUAAAUAGAACUAAAAUAUCUUAGAAAAGAUUGAAAGUAAAAGGAAAGCUAGGCUUAUUUAUUCUUAGAAACUAAUUUAUUUAUCUUUUUGAAGUGGGAUAAUAAACUUUUUCUAGAUAACUAUAAAUGAAAAAUCUUAGUGUGCAAAAUAGCACGUACAAUAUUAUAACCGAGCUAUGCACCAUUACAUUAUAGAUAUUCAUCUAAUAUUUGUAGAUAUUCAUCAAACAUUGUGCUAGAAUUCAAUUAUGUCCACAUUGUGAAUGUAUUUUUAAAGAGACUUUCUUCAAAAUAUCCUAGAACUUAGCAUUGCUAACCUUUCCCCCCCUUCUUCUCUCUUAUUGAGAAUAACGUAUAUGGUGGGAGCAUUAUUUUAUAACUAUUUGAGUCAAACACUUGGUAGGCAUCUUUCAAGAUUCGAACUUAAAACUUCCUCCAAAAUGAAAGGCGCUGCAACCCAAGCAAAAAACUAUGAUGUGAUCAUUAUAGGGGAGCACUUGCUAUUGGAUGGUUGCUUUAACUUUCAUGUGCCUUUUAGAGCCUUUCAUUGAACACUUAGCGGGUGUUGGUUGGGAGUAGUUUGAGAUGGAGAAACAAGAUGGUGGAGGAAGCAACAAUAGACAAACCUUAUCGUGCUCCAGCAAUGGGGGGUCGGUCUUGGGUAAAAGUAUUGCGAUGUAGGACCUGUUGUGGCAACCACUAUGGACCUCACAAAAAAUUUUGGAGGAAGAGGUCGAGCAACUUCAAAGGUACUUCACCAAGGUUAUGGAGUUUCUGAAAGUAGAGAUGGAGGAUUCCAAAUGGCAGUAGGAGAAACUCAUCGUGUUGACUCAGAGUCUUAGUCAAAAAGUUCCAACAGAAUGGAUGGUGAAAGAGGUGAAGGAGAAGAGAAUGUUGCAGUAUAACAUUGUGACUUUUUCUUCUUGCUGAGGUUCACUAACUCCUUUGAUUUCAAUCAAAGGAGGACUGUAUGGCAGCUCUCAGGGGUGAUCUGUGGUUAGUAGCGGGCCUAUUGAUAGCCAUGGAAUCUUGAGUAUAUGUUUUGUCCUGGGCAUGAAGAUGAUCUAGUGAACGGUGAUUUGGGUGAGGCUUUUGGGCCUCCUAAUGGAGUUUUGGAGGAACCACAUCAUCCUAGAAAUCAUGGCGGAGGCUGGAAGAUCAAUCAUGAUUGAUGACUUCAUCAAGUAGCUUCGAAUGGCCGGUUAGCAAGCCUUUGAAGCUGGGGGUGUCCAUUAGGGGGAAGGGUGGUGUUUUUUGGCAGCCAUUUAAAUACGAGAGCCUCUCCACUGUUUGCUACCAAUGUAGGCAAUUUGAACAUUCGGACAAAGAUUGUUAGUUCCUUGAAGCCGACCCUACCUUGAAGGGGAACAAUUGUCAGCUCCAACCAGAGAAUGAUAGAGGAGCUAGCGAGAAUCAGGGGUUUCUGGCUCUAAUGGUGGUGAAGGAAAGGGGUGAGCUGAGUUUGGAAGGGGUCGCCACUGAGGCUCUAGUGGUAGGCUACCGAUCGAGGAUCCACAAUUGUGGGUGCCUAAGGUGAGGCUGAAGGUGAGGAAGGAUACAGAGUUGAACCAAGAUUCAUUAGGUCCAACUCAUCCUCCUCUAGGCCCAACUCACCGAGGCAGCAGCCGAGUUCACUGGGUUUGCCCCCUUACUCGGAUGAGUAGCAAAAGCCCAACAAUAUUGCCCGCUAUUGAUUAUGAAGAUAAAUAGCCAGAGGACUCGGAUGAUGGCCAAGUCAAAUCAGGUGAGUUGGAGCCUAGGAUAGGUUCCUCAUUUAGGGCCUCACUAGCAAAUGGCCCAUUGGAGGAUAGCAUGGAUCUGGGUUGGGAUGAUGGUUCGAGCUCAAGGGAACUGGUGAUGGUUGAUAUGGGGAGUCCGAAUUUAAAGUAAGUCAGGAGCCCCCUCAAGGCCCAUCAAGGAAAUAUCUCUGGUGACCCACUAUAGGAGCCCAUCGAGCCUCCGACUACUGUGGCAAAGCCCAGAUCCAAAUCUCUUGAGAAAAAUCAUGAUCGCACUAGGUCAGUGAAGUAGCGAUCUUCCUCAUCAUUGGAGAGGAAGUUGGAGGCACGCCCUUGGCAUGGGGAUUGGGAUCUGCAAUCCGGCCCCAGAGUUUUGAUGUUGGCUAGCAAACAUUGGACCCCCUCGGGUUGCAUGGAGUCUGACUAGGGUUCCAUGGAUUCUAAGACUAUUGGUGAGGUGGCCAGCUAGUAUAAUAACAGUGAUAUCUCCCUUGGGAUGAUGGGCCCUUCGUGGUAGAUGCCGCUACUUCGAUUCUCACCAAAGCUCGACAGGUGUCAAGGGCGAUUCAAGGAAGAGUGGAUGUGGUGGUUUGUGGGCUUGGUUCUGCUAGUGUGCACGAGAUGGGCCAUGUCAAUUUAGGAUGAGAGAUGGGUCGAAGCAAAAAGAAAAGCUUGCUGGGCCAAGCAGUCAAGAGCCAAAUAAUCAUGAGGGGGCCGAGUCUCGGCUUAAGGUGGUCCUAAAAGCCAUGAAGGCUGGUACAAAGCAAGAUGGAAGGGGUUUCAAGCUGGAAAUUAUGGAGGCUCGGGGCUCGGCCUCUCAUUCUAAUUGAUGUCUCUAUGAAAGUCAUGCUAUGGAAUGUGCUAGGAGUGGGCAAACCCGCCUUCUAAUCUGUGUUCAGGAGGUUGAUGAAGUUUCACUGCCUAGACCUAUGUAUUUUCCUGGAGACACACUUGUCUAGGGAGAGUUUAGCUCGUGCCAGGUGCCGCUUCUUGACAUCUUAGGAUUUUUAUGUCAUUGAGUCCCAAGGGUUGGUUGGGGUAUUAUUGUUGCCUAGAGGACUAGCGUAGCCAGCAUUGAUGUGUUUCAUAGAUAUACUCAGCAAAUCAUUAUGAUUAUUUCUAAAAUAAAUAGAGAUCCUUGACUUUUGUCUAAUGUGUAUGCUAGCACAGACUAUAAGAAGCAGAGAGAGCUCUUGUUUGAGGCAUCCAAUAUGAUGGGGCAAGGCAUCCCUACUUUGGUUGUGUAAAACCUUAAUUGUAUUAAUGGGCCCCAGGAGAAAAGAGGGGGGAGGGCUUUUGUGGAUGGGGUAGAGUCCAGAGAGUUUUGGGAGUUUAUUGAGGUGAAUAAGUUGGUGGACCUAGGCUUUAUUAUCACCCAAUUUAUCUGGUUUAACAAAUAUCAUAGAGGGGCUAGGAUGUGGGAAAGGAUUGAUAGAGCAUUCAUGACAGCUAGCUAGAAUCAGCUGCACCCCAGUCAUUAGUCUAUCAUCUUCUAAGGAUUACAUCUGACCACCAUCCAAUGAAGAUCAUGACUCAGGCUCUUAUCUCCUACUAGAGUACCUUUCGAUCCAAGAAGUUUUGGCUCUCCUACCUCCGAUUGUGGGAUAUUUUGCAAAAGGUCAGCAGUUCUUGAUUUGGGGUGAUGCUAGAUAUCAGUUGACUUAGAGAUUAGACCUAACAAGGUGAAGGCAUCUGUGGUAGAAUAAGAUGGAGAUUGAUGAUAUUUUUUAGAGACUAGAGACUAUCGAAGAUGCCAUCACUGAGCUCUAGGAUAUGGAGGACAGAGAGGGUGGGCUGUCUAAUGCUGACUUUGCAGACCUCUACGAGCAACUCAUUGCAUCAUUCAUUGUUGAGGUAGCAGGAGGUUUUUUUUGGAGGCAGAAAUUGAGGGCCUAAUGGCUUAGAGAGGGAGACAAAAGUACCAGAUUCUUCCAUCAGGCUAUGAUCAUCAGAGGCAUCGAAAUCAGAUCCAGGCUAUGAGGGAUAGCAAUGGAUAGUGAUUGGAUAGUGAGGGGAGCAUUAGGCAAGAGAUAGUUACCUUCUUUAAAUCACGAUAGAUGGCAAGCCUAAGGGGUGGUGCUCCUUUCUCUUUCCUGCCCCCCUUAGAUUGUGUCAGUGAGUUAGAGAACAGGCAGCUAAUUAGGUCAGCGUUAGUCGAGAAAGUCCGAAAGGUGUUGUGGUUUAUGGUAGAGGAUAAAGUGCUUGAGCUGGAUGCUUUUACCCUCGCUUCUUCAAGAGAUAUUGGCCCAUUAUUCAGUCUGAGGUGGUGAAGACAGUGAUGGAGUUCUUUGCUAUGGGAGAAAUGUCGGAGUCUUGAAUAAAGAUCUUCAUCACUUUGAUCUCAAAAAGAUAGAUGCAGCUGAGUUGAGCUACUACAGACUAAUCAACUUGUGCACAACUUUAUACAAGAUUUGUGCCGAGCUAAUGGUGGAGAAAAUGAAGUCUAUACUAUCGGUCUGCAAGACCCUCUUGCAAACCAAGGACAGUGAUGAGGGAUUUGUCUGAUAUGUAUAGGAGGGAGCCUACUCAUAAUCUAGAUGGCGCAUGGAUUUGAAGCUGAGGUGUCUGUUCGAGAAUCAGUUUAGUCAUUUGGAAAGUCACUUGAGAUCAUCUUCCUUCGAGAGCUAUCUUAAGAUAUAGGGGCUUGGCCCUCCCAGCAACUUGCCCGUACUGUGCAGUGGGGGAGAAGAGUGUGUGGCACAUGCUGUUUCAGUGCCCGAGAGUAAUAUAGACUUGGUGGUUGACUGGCCUACUCACAGCUACUAUUUUGAUGGAGACUCCAACUCAUAUUAGAAUUAGAGAUUUGGGGCAUGCACGUGUGUUUCAAAAUUUUAUUUUUUAAACACCACAGCAGAAUACAAAAUUAAAAUAUUUUUAAUCUGAAUCAUCCAUGCAUAAAAAUAUAAAACCAUAAGAAUCUAGUUCAUGUACUGAAAUUGACAUAUGUUGAAAUUUAGAUUGUGAUCACAUCGCAUACCUAUUUCGUAAUUUUUUUCUUCAAAUCUGGAUCUAAAAAAGAAAAAAUUUUCUUUUAGCCCCACAAAUAUCUGACCUCUAUGGGUAUCCACUCGGGAUCAGCCUGGAACAGCUCCCUUCAAGUUAAAAAUUUUUUUCUAAGAAAAUUCAGCCUGUUGAAUCUGAACGAAGCUUGGAUCGCGAUCAACACUUGAUCUCUUUUCUUGAUAGUCUUCUUCUUUUAUUCUCUUGCCUUUCUUUCUUACUUUGUGCUACUACCGAACAUCAGGAACCAGCAAAGAGGGGACGCCGAACAGCUUGGGCGUGGAAGAGAAGUGGGAUGCCCAACAAGGUGGGGCGUGUGGGACGCCAAGGGAGAAGAGAAAGAGAGAGGAAGAGAGGGUGUGGGCACUUUCUAUGAGGUAUGUGGGCUGUUGGUUGGAUGCUCUAGGGAUCUUAGGAGAGGUCCCCUUAAAUAGGCAUGAGGAUUGAAUCCUAUUCAAUCUCAUAAUACAAGUCAUACUUGCAUUAGGUUUCCUAAUAACUUAAGUUAUUCAACUAAAAUUAGGAAUCCUAUUAGGCGUCAACUCUUGGAGCCCUUGCACCCAAUUAUUCACACCCUCUUUUACACCCAAGAGAUGCCCCAUAUGAGAUCCAAAAGUCUUCUAAUCAUAGGACAUGCCAACUUGAUCCAAUCAAAGUGGCGCCCCAGAAUAACUAUCAAAAAAAUUAAUUAGGGACUUGCAUCCUAAAUUCAAUUGAUCCAAAAUCUUAGACACCUAACAAUUGAAGUCUAAUGAACCUAAUUCAUUUAGAUUAUUAGCAGAUAAUUAAGUUUAAAUUAUCUUAUCAAAUAAGAAAUCCAAACGAAAAGAGAAAAUUGGAUCCAACCAUGUGCUAGCAAGGUUACCUUGAACCCAAUCGGAUUUCUCCAAACCCAAUUGAUAUUUCAUAAGCUCAAUUACUAAUUUCAGACCUAAUCCCUUUGUUGUAUAACCCCAUACAUUCAAUUCUAUUUAGCAGUGAGAUAUACAAUGAUCUCUAUCAAAGUAUCAUUGAAAUACUUUUCAAUGGGUUGGAACAAUUCUACUCUAACUCAUCAAGGAUUGUCGAUCCAGAACAACCCUAACGAGCUCUCAUAAUCCAUCAGUGACACCUAGUAGUAUGUAGUGGCAAUCCAAUAGAACUGAAAUAAAUCUCUAGGUAUAGUUAACGUGUAAUUCAGUCCCUCUAUCAUGAGUCCCAACUAGAUGGUAGGUCAUGGAUAAAUUAUCAAACCUCAACAUCAAUCAUAUGUUAGAUUUGAUUAGCUCAAGUCUAAUUGUGACUUCUAUGAAAACUCUUUUCCUUCAAUCACACUACUGUAGUCACACAUUCUCGGACUUAGUCUCUCAAAUUUUAUAAGACUACUCCUUUCUACCAAGAUCGAUAGAUCUCAUUUUGAUGCACACCCUACUCCUACAGUGGACUAACUAUCAUCAAUAUCUACUACAAGGGCUGAUUGAGACCCAUAUUUAUAUGUCAAUCAAACUCUAGCAACCUCACUGCGAGUAGCAGUGCCAUCUCAGAUCAAAAGACCAGUCACACAACUACAGCAUCGAGACGAUCACUGACGAUCGAGUAAAAAUUCAAGUGAUCUCUCAUAUGGUCACGCUCGGUACUAGUUGUUCUCUAAUAACUAUCUGUACUCAUCGUCCAGUAUUUCUACACUAUAGACUAGAGAUCCAUCUAUCUCAAAAGAAGCAAUCUGUAUAUUAGUCUAUUCGGAUCGNNNNNNNNNNNNNNNNNNNNAUCACCAUUCUCAUGAUGAUCCUAUGAUCGAGAGUAUUUAAGAAUUAAAUACAUAUCUCUAAUUCUUAACACCUUGAGAAUAUGUAUCGAAAAUUAAUUCCAUGGACGAUUCAAGGACACAGUACACUUGAAUGAAAAAUAAACUUAUUUUUUAUUGAUCAUAUCAAUAUAUUAAGUAUAAAAUUGUGUCCUAGAUUUAUUACAAUGUGUCAGCCAUAUUGACUUCUAGGACAUACAUCUAACAAUCUCCCACUCAGACUAAAGCCAAUUAACCACAAAUCUAAGUCCCAUCUUCUCAAAAUAGACUUUCAUUUUUGGUUAGCUCAACUAUUUUGUCAGCGGAUCUGCCACAUUGUCCACAGAGUCUACUCUUCGCACCUCGACACAUUUUUUUUCGAGAUAGUCACGUAUAAUAUAAUACCGCCGCUCGAUGUACUUUGAUUUUUGAAGAAAUCUCGGCUCCUUAGCAAGUACUAUAGCUCUAUUGUUAUCGUAGUAAAGUAGUAUGGCAUCUGAUGUCAUAACCUCAAGUUUUGCGAUGAACUUGAACAAGAAUCCUUCUUUUGCAGCAUCCGAAGCAGCGACAUCUCAGCCUCCAUGAUCGAAUCCGCUAUGAUGGGUUGCUUGAAACUCUUCCAGCUAACUGCACCAUCAUUGCAAAUGAACACAUAUCCUGAUGUAGAUUUUCUAUUAUCAGGAUCAGACAUGAAGUCUGAGUCAGUAUACCCUUCGAUACGCAAUUCAAAAUCUCCUCUAAAGAUCAAGAACAAAUCCUUAGUCCUUCUCAAGUACUUAAGGAUGUUCUUCACAACUAUCCAGUGCUCCUUGUCUGGAUUCGACUGAUACUUGCUCGUGACACUCACAGCAAGGAUAAUAUCAGGUUGAGUACACAGCAUAGCAUACAUGAGACUUCUUAUUACUGAGGCAUAAAGAAUCCUACUCAUGCACUGAACUUCCUCAGAUGUGAUUGGACACAUCAUCUUGGAAAGAUUAAUACUAUGCCUAAGAGGUAAAAGUUCUCUUUUGAAAUUUUUCAUGCUAAACCUCUUCAGUACUUUUUCUAUGUACAGCUUUUGUGAUAGGCCUAGCAUCUGUUUAGGUCUAUCCCUAUAGAUCUUUAUUCUAAGAAUAUAGGAUGCUUCCCCUAGGUCUUUCAUGGAGAAUUUCUUGGACAACCAUCUUUUGACUAUGAUCAGCAUGAAAAUAUUAUUUUUAAUGAGGAGAAUAUCAUCCACAUACAAUACGAGGAAUAUUAUUGCACUCUUUUCUAUCCACAUAGUUCCUCUUCAUUUUUGAUGAAAUUAAAUGAUUUGAUUGCCUCAUCAAAAUGAUGAUUCCAACUCUAAGAAACUUAUUUUAAUCCGUAUAUGGACCUUUACAGCUUGCAUACUCUGUGAUCACCAUCACCAAAUAUGAAAUCUAUAGGCUGCUUCAUAUAGAUGUCUUUCUCAAGAUAUCCAUUUAGAAAAGCAGUUUUCAUAUCAAUCUGUCAGAUUUCAUAAUCAUAGUAAGCUACAACAGUAAGCAGAGUGCCGAUGGAUUUUAACAUACCUACGGAUGAAAAAAAAUUUUGAUAGUCAAUGCCCUCNNNNNNNNNNNNNNNNNNNNNNNNNNNNNNNNNNNNNNNNNNNNNNNNNNNNNNNNNNNNNNNNNNNNNNNNNNNNNNNNNNNNNNNNNNNNNNNNNNNNNNNNNNNNNNNNNNNNNNNNNNNNNNNNNNNNNNNNNNNNNNNNNNNNNNNNNNNNNNNNNNNNNNNNNNNNNNNNNNNNNNNNNNNNNNNNNNNNNNNNNNNNNNNNNNNNNNNNNNNNNNNNNNNNNNNNNNNNNNNNNNNNNNNNNNNNNNNNNNNNNNNNNNNNNNNNNNNNNNNNNNNNNNNNNNNNNNNNNNNNNNNNNNNNNNNNNNNNNNNNNNNNNNNNNNNNNNNNNNNNNNNNNNNNNNNNNNNNNNNNNNNNNNNNNNNNNNNNNNNNNNNNNNNNNNNNNNNNNNNNNNNNNNNNNNNNNNNNNNNNNNNNNNNNNNNNNNNNNNNNNNNNNNNNNNNNNNNNNNNNNNNNNNNNNNNNNNNNNNNNNNNNNNNNNNNNNNNNNNNNNNNNNNNNNNNNNNNNNNNNNNNNNAGAUCUAUUUACACCCAAUAAGUACAAUACCCUCAGGUUGAUCCACUAAGGUCCAUACUUGGUUCAAAUGCAUCAAGUCAAUUUUUACUUCACAGCAUCUAAUCAUUUUUCGAAAUCGAUGUCAGACAUCACCUCAUCAAAGGUAUUAGGAUCAUCACCAUGAUCCCUAUCUCCUAUAAAGAAUAUUUUCUUUACUUCCUCCAUAAGCAUGCCCAUGUACCUUUCAGAAGGUCGGAAGAUCCUACUAGAUCUACAAGAUGGUAGAGAAACAUCAACUACUGGCUCAUAAAUAAUAGGUUCCUGAGGAUCUAUAACUCUUUACUAUUCAAAGACCUUCUUUUCGAGCUCAAUUAACCUCCUACUGCUACCAUCUUGGAUAAAUUUUUUUCUAAGAAUAUGGCGUUUCGACUCACAAUCACAUUAUGGUCAUGUAGAAAGUAGAAAUAGUAUUUCAUGGAUUCUUUUAGAUAUUCUAUAAAAUAAGCUAUAACAGAUCUAUCCUCUAGUUUAUCAGCCAUCUGUAUCUUGACAUAGACCGGAUAUCUCCAAAUCUUAAGAUAACCUAGACUCGGCUUCUUAUUGAACCAUAUCUCAUACGACGUGGUAGGAAUGGACUUUAAUAGAAUCUUAUUCAACAAGUGAAUAGUGGUUAGCAAGGCAUCUCUCCAAAGAUACAAGGAUAGAUCAGUGAAGCUCAUCAUGGAUUUGAUCAUAUCCAAUAGGAUCUUAUUUCUUCUUUCGGAUAUCUCGUUGAGCUGAAGUAUUUCAGGAGGCAUCCAUUGAGAGACUAUACCGUUAUCCUUAAGAUAUCUCAAAAAUUUAUGACUAAAGUAUUCACCUCCUCGAUCAGAUCGAAGAAUCUUAACGUACUUGCUUGUUUGCUUUGCUACUACAAGUCUAAAUUUUUAGAACCUUUCAAAGACCUCAGACUUGUAUUUCAUCAGAUACACAUAUCCGUACCUAGAUAAAUCAUCAAUAAAGGUAAUGAAGUAGCUAUAACCACCUCUGAUUUACAUAUCAAAUGGCCCAUACACAUCAGUGUGUACCAGGAUAAGUAACUCAGUGGUUCUUUCCCCAUAUCCUACAAAGGAUAAAAGAUUCACAUGCUGGAUAUGUCUCUGGAUUAAGAGAGCCAAGGAUCCUAUCCUUUUUCAGUUUGUUUAUCCUGUCCUCUCCAAUAUGGUCUAGUCAUGGUGCCAUAAGUACUUUUGGUUAAUUUCAUCUUUGGAUCACUAUUGGCCUACGGCACUCACUAUUUGCUCGUUUAAAUUCACAUUCGCAUCAACAUGCAAGUGAUAAAGAUUGUCAAUUAAAAGAUCUCAUGCAACUAAUUUAUUUCAUAAAUAAAUAGAAUAAAAAUCUUUAUUGAAACUAAUUUCAAAAUCUUUCUGUGCUAGCAUAGACACAGAAAUCAAAUUUUGAUUAGCAACAGGGACAUAAUAACGAUCUUUCAAAUCUAAUCUAAAUCCUGAUGGUAAUCGAAGAGGAUAAGUGCCAAUGGUCUCUGCAGUAACUUUUGCUCCUUUGCCGAUCCGAAGGAUCAUAUCACCUUUCUUUAACCUCUUACUUUCUAUUAGAUCCUACAUUGAGGUACAUAUAUGAGCACUUGAGCCAGAGUCUAAUACCCAACUAUAAGUAGAAGAAACUGUAAGGUUAGAUUCAAUUACGAGCAUAUUUUCGGAAGGUUUAUCACCUUUUUUGGUCUUUAGACUCUCCAGAUAUAUUGGAUAGUUCCUCCUCCAGUGGCCUUCAACAUGACAGUGGAAAUAUUUUUUCUUUGCUUCAGCCUUAUUAGAAACUUCCUUCUUUGGUCUGUUCUUCUUUUUCUGCUUCUUAGCAGAUUUAACAUUUUUCUUCCCAGUAGACUUUCUUUUAGAAGAAGUCCACUCCACAGCGAGAACAAUGCCCCUUGAACUCUUCAAGGUUCUCUCUGUAGUGACCAACAUGUUGACUAGUUCGGGUAUAGUGCAGUCAAAUUUGUUCAUAUAAAAAUUUAUAAUAAAUUGACUAUAUGAACUUGUAAGGGAUUGAAGGAUCAAAUCCAUCUAUAAUUUUUUUUGCAGUUUAAACCCAAGCUUUCCAAGCUCCUCAAUGUCCUUGAUCACUGUCAUACAAUGCUCAUGGACAGACUGCCCUUCGCGCAUCUUCAGAUUGAAGAAUCUUUUGGAUACCUCGAAGUAUGCAAUAUGACUCUACUCACUAUACAACUCUUAUAGGUGAGUGAUCAUUGUCCUAGUUGUGGGCAUAUGCUUAUGCUGGCUUUACAACUCGUUUGACAUAGAAGCCAGUAUAUAGUACUUGACCCGACUGUCUUCAUCCAUCCACUUCUCAAAAGCAAUCCUUUGCUCAGCAGUAGGAUGGUUUGGUAACAUUAUGGAUUUCUGAUCGAGUACAUGACGUAACUUUAAAGUCAAGACAAUCCUGAGGUUUCUGAGCCAAUCUUUGUAAUUUAUAUCGGUCAAAUGAUUGGUUUCAAAGAUGUGGACUAGAGGGUUUGAAGUUGACAUUGUUUAACUGCGAAAGUAGAGGUUCAAGUUAGACUUUUAUACUUAAUGUUAUAUUUGCUUUUAGAGACUUUAAGAUACAAAUAAUAACUCUCACUAAUUAAUCAAAUCCCUCCAUUCUCCGGAAAGAAAAUAAAAAUCCUGACACGAUAAAAGAUUCCUAAUGGGUGCUGCAUCCCACCGAUGCCACGCACCUCACCUAACAGUUAUUGGUAACAUACACACCGACGCGUAGGCAACUAUUUAUCCAAUUACUUCUCUAAGCAUAUUGCAGCAAUUUUGUCUCUAAGUCAUAUGGGAUCACCUAACAGUUAUUGUCCAUACUCCUUAGUUAAGUCUGACCCACUGUUCACAAGCAGGUGCAAGACCGUCAUUGGGUCCCUCACCUAACAGUUAUUGGGCCCAACCCCAUCCUUAUCUUGAAGCAACUCUUUGCUAAUGGAGUGGUUGCGUGUUUCCGAUGUAACUGAACCACUGUGAUUAGUUGAGAACAAUCAACAUCGGUAGCAUGUCCGCACAUCUACAAUGGUGGAAGACCUAUGGACUUAAUAUUUAUGGAGAGGUUUAGAUUUAGGUCUCAUUUAAUCAGUCAUCAUAUGAUCGAUCUAAUUGGCAUAGGCUAAACCAAACCGCUAAGCAACCCAAUUCAAGAUCUAAUUUUUCAAAUUGACGAGGUAAGUAGAGAUCUGUGGGGUUCCUCCGUUGCUUUUUUUAGACACCAAUAGAUUGAUCAGAUAAGCGAACAAAAUCAAUUAAAUAACCACAUCUCAAUAACUUGCCUUAGACACCAAUAGGUCAAUUGGUUCAAACAGGUUAGCUCAAGCGAGUCAGGCUCAAACCAUCAAGCCAAAUUAGGUUCUUAGGUUAAUUGAUUCUAUAUAUGGGACUCAAAUAAUUUGAUUAACAAUAAUUGCAUGAUCAUUUAACUUAAUUGAUCUAACCUUAAUCAAUACUUGACUCGGUUUGAUCAAUUAUUUAAUCGAAUUAGACUCAUAUGACUCAAAUUAAAAAUCUUAGAUGCAAUCCUAUUACAUGACCUAAUUUUGAUUUUCCCAUGACCAAAAUCCUCAUGCACAAAUACAAAUUUUAAAUUUUAAAAUUAAAUUUUAGAUCUAAAUUCUUUAUAUAAAAGUAAAUUUUAAAUCAUAAAAAUAAUUUUCAGAUUUAAUAUAUAAACAUAUAUCACAUAUAUGCAUGUAAAAUUCAUAUCUAAAUAAAAUUUAGAUCUAUUACAUGAUAUCAUAUAUCUCAUAUACUAAUCAUGGAACAUAUUAAAAGUAAUUUUAUGACCUUAAUCAUGCAAUUACAUAUCUCAUAUAUGAAUUAUAAAUCAGGUCAUAAAAAAUUUUAGGUUUAUGCAUGCAUCUACAUAUCAUGUGAACAUCAACUAGAAACCGUUCUAGAUCAAAAUUCAGAUCUAUGCAUGCUUUCACAUACCAAUUAUNNNNNNNNNNNNNNNNNNNNAAUUAGAUUUUGAAAUUCUUUUCAAAAUAUGUAUGACAAUUUCAGUAAUAUGAAACCCAUGGCUCUGAUACCAUUAUUAGAAUUCGAGGUUUGAGGUAUGCAUGUGUAUUUCAAGACUUUAUUUUCUAAACACCAUAGCAGAAUACAAGAUUAAAAUACUUUUAAUCUGAAUCAUGCAUGCAUAAAAAUAUAAAACCACAAGGAUCUAGUUCAUGUGCUGAAAUUGACAUAUGUUGAAAUUUAGAUUGUGAUCAAAUCGCAUAUCUGUUUCGCAAUCUCUUUCUUCAAAUCUGGAUCUGAAAAAGAAGAGAUUUUUUUCUAGCUGCAUAAGUAUCCGACCUCUAUGGAUAUCCACUUGGGAUCAGUUUGGAACAGCCCUCUUCAAGUUGAAUUUUCUUCUCUAAGAAAAUUUAGUAUGCUGAAUCUGAACGAAGCCUGGAUCGCGAUCAACACUUGAUCUCUUUUUUUGAUCUUUUUCUUCUCUUUUUUUUAUUUUUUUUUUCAUACUUUGUACUUCUACCAAACAUCAGGAACCAGCAAGGAGAGGAUGCUCAACAGCUUGGGUGUGGAAGAAAAAUGAGAUGCCCAACAAGGUGGGGCGUGUGGGAUGCCAAGGGAGAAGAGAAAGGGAGAGGAAGAGAGGGUGUGGGCACUUCCUAUGGGGUGUGUGAGCUGCUGGUUAGAUGCUCUAGGGAUCUUAAGGGAGGUCCCUUUAAAUAGACAUGAGGAUUGAAUCCUAUUCAAUCUCAUAAUACAAGUCCUACUUGCAUUAGAUUUUCUAAUAACUUAAGUUAUUCAACUUACAUUAGGAAUCCUAUUAGGCGCCAACUCUUGGAGCCCUUGCACCCAAUUAUUCACACCCUCUUUUACACCCAAGGGACGCCCCAUAUGAGAUCCAUAAGUCCUCUAAUCAUAGGACACGUCCAACUUGAUCCAAUCAAGGUGGCGUCUAAAAAUAACUAUCAAAAAAAUUAAUUAGGAACUUGCAUCCUAAAUUCAAUUGAUCCAAAAUCUUAAACACCUAACAAUCGAAGUCCAAUGAAUCUAAUUUAUUUAGGUUAUUAGUAGGUAAUUAAGUUUGAAUUAUCUUAUUAAAUAAGAAAUCCAAACGGAAAGAGAAAAUUAGAUCCAACCAUAUGCUAGCAAGGUUAUCUUGAAUCCAAUCAGAUUUUUCCAAAUCCAAUUGACACUUCAUCAGCUUAAUUACUAAUUCUAGACCUAAUCCCUUUGUUGUAUGACUCCAUAGGUUCAAUUCUAUCUGAUAGUGAGAUAUACAAUGAACUCUAUCAAAGUAUUAUUGAAACUCUUUUCAAUGGGUCAGAACAAUUCUAUUCUAACUCAUCAAAGAUUGUCGAUCCAGAACAACCCUAAUGAGCUCUCACAAUCCAUCAGUAACACCUAGCAGUAGUAGUGGCAACCCAAUAGAACUAAAAUGAAUCUCUAGGUAUAGUUAAUGUGUGAUUCAGUCCUUCUAUCGUGAGUUCCGACUAGAUUGUAGGUCAUGGAUAAAUCGUCAAACCUCAAUAUCAGUCAUAUGUUAGAUUUGAUUAGCUCAAAUCCAGUUGUGACUUGUAUGAAAAUUUUUUUCCAUCAAUUACACUACUGUGGCCACAGAUUCUCAGACUUAGCCUCUUAAAUUUCAUAGGAUUACUCUUUUCUAUCAAGAUCGAUAGGUCCCAUCUUGAUGCACACCCUACUCCUACAGUAGAUCAACUAUUGUCAAUAUCCACUACAAGGGCUCAUUAAGAUCCAUGUUUAUAUGUCAAUCAAACUCCAGCAGCCUUACUGUGAGCAACAGUGCCAUCUCAGGUCAAAGAACCAGUCACACAACUACAGCAUCGAGACGAUCACUAAUGAUCGAGUAGAAAUUCAAGUGAUCUCUCGUAUAGUCAUGCUCGGUAGUAGUUAUUCUCUAACAACUAUCCACACUCGUCAUCUAGUAUCUCUACACUGUGGACUAGAGAUCCAUCUAUCCCAAAAGAAGCGAUCUGUGCGUCAGCCUAUCCAAAUUGAUUACCGUCCUCAUGAUGAUCCUAUGACCGGGAGCAUUUAGGAAGUAAAUACAUAUCUCUAAUUUUCAAUAUUUUAAGAAUAUGUAUCGAAAAUUAAUUCCAUGGAUGAUUCAAGGACACAUCACACUUGAAUGAAAAAUAAACUUAUCUUUUUAUUGAUCAUAUCAAUGUAUUAAGUACAAAAUUGUGUCCUAGAUUUAUUAUAAUGUGUCAGUCAUAUUGGCUUCUAAGACAUACAUCUAACAACUCAGACUUUUCUGAAGUUCCUACAGUGCAGUUCUAGUCCAGAGUGAUCAGCCAGGUUUGUUGAGAUUCGGGUGCCUUACAUAGCUUAUCAUAUCUGGCUCUCCAAGAAUAGCCUGAUGUUCAAGUGAAGGAGAUCUUUUAUGACAUUCAUAGUGAAGAGUGCCCUGACAUAGGUGGUGGAGAUUAUCCAUCCAUCGUUGUCUGAUUUGACCUUGAGGAUUGUGGAUUCCUGGGACUCUCUAUUGGCUCGUUGAGCGAUCCAUAAAAUUUUCAUUUCUUGGGAUCCCCUACCCCCAACCUUCCUUAAGUUCAAUUUUGAUGGCAGCUUGUCAAGCAGGAGUGGAGCUGGGUUUGUGAUCUAUGGCCUGAAUUUGAGACUUGUGGCCAGAAGCAGGAGAUGCCUAUUCAAGAUCAUGGUUCUUGGUGUGGAGUUUUAGGCUACUUAGGUAGGCAUUGCCUAUGCGAGGCUCAUCUUGGGGGGCAAACUGGCUCGUGAUAGAAGGCAACUCUACCAUGGUGGUGGGUUGGAUUCAGUUGCAUGAGAGUAAGGAUGCUGCUCACCUGCUAUUAUGGGAUAUUGCCAUCUUGCUAUAGGAGGUCUCCUCUUUAUGCAUCAAGCAUGUUUACUGAGAGCUAAAAGCUAUAGUAGACUGGAUUGUCUUCUUUGUUGCGAAGUACUCCGGAGACAUGCUUUGGACUGACAUGGGAUCUACACCAGGCACCUUUCGUUAUGUUUUGCUUUUUGACCUUUUUAGUUGUAUUUAUAUGAGGGUUGCGUGAAUGUUCCACCUUAUCAAAAGAAAAAAAAAAAAAAAACUAGCAACCUUUGGGGUGGCAUGAGCUUUGAAUACCUAAUUGAAAGGCCUCAAAAGUUGAUUCAAAAGGUCGGCCAAUUUUUAAACGUCUAAAAAUAUAUUACUGUGCUAGGAGAAUAUAUAAGAGGAAGUUUAGCGAACAAAACUCUUGCAAAAAAACCUUCUUUGCAACAAUAAGUAAAAGAUAUUUUCAUAUAAAACCAGUAAACAAUUUGCAAAAAUUAUUCAUCAAUUUAAAUGUUCCACCGAAAAGCUCUAUACUCACCCUAUCAAUUUCAAGGAUUGGGACUCUGUCGACCAACACCAGUUCAUUGAAAAGGAAGUUCUAUUUUUUUAUUUGGUGAUAAUCCAAUCCUUUAAAGUCAUAGGCUAAGUUACUUUAUGUGGUUCUAAAAUUACUUUAUAUAUAGAUAUUAUCAAUUUAAGCAUCGCUGCUCAGCUAUAAAUGAAUAAAAAAGUAGCUAGAUGUUGGACUUAUAGCCACCUGAAUGUAAUUUUGGGGAAAAAGAAAAGAUGACCAUAAUUUUGGGCUUAGUAAAUCCUAUACAACAAUAACUUAAGAGCAUAGUUACCGAGCUUGCAGUAGCCCGACGACAAUUAGUAAAUUAAGAUACCAACUAUAAAAUAUUAAACAAUUUAAUUAACUAAAGCCUCAUCUAGGAAUUCAUGUGGAGCAUAUGCAACACAAGUAUUUCUUUGAGAGACCAAUAAAACAUAACGUUUUAAAUUAAGUAAUACUUAGGAAUGAAGUCUUCACCCACUUAUUCUGAUUUGCUGAUCAAUGUGGCAACAUGUGAACCAUAGUGGUCUUCGCUGUUUUCUGAAUUUUGGAAGGGAAUUCCAACCUGUCUUGCUGCCUAAUUAGAAACAGUACAUAAAAACCCCACACGAGCAUAAUUCUUUCCUUAAAGCAUGUUAUAUGAAUUCUAGAGAUUUCAAACGCUAAUGUCCAAAGAAAUGCACAAGUACACAAUGUGCUGUUAUGCACUUGCGUUCUGUUUUUUUUUUUUUCCUUGUUACAAUUGAACUACAGUUAUCACAACUUUUUCUUGAAAAGAACGUUUUGUAGAUGUAACAUCGAACGAUAUGACCUAUAUAAUCAAUGAGGAUCCUCUAAGGUUCAGCCCAUGUGCUGCAGAAUAUUGUGCAUCCUUAGACUGCCGCUAUCAAAAGAUGGACGAUCAUCAAACAACAUGAGCAGUAUACGAUGAUGCUGUGCAUGCACCGCACUUUAUGAUGCUGUGCAUGCACCGCAGAAGAUCCCUGCACCUCAAUAAUUGAGCUAAAAGGACAGAUCCUGCAGCAGUAUGGUCUCCAUAUGCAGGCCCCUCAGAAGGUCAGCAUUUCUCUAGGUUCCUUU